CUAAGCGUGAAGUGAA
rnacentral:rRNA from 1 species